GCCAUGGCUUAGUGGUAGAGCCCCUUCUUGGCAUGGAGAAGGUCCCAGGUUCCAACCCUAGUAUCUCCA
rnacentral:tRNA from 1 species